rnacentral:misc_RNA from 1 species
UUAAACCCCUAUUUAAGUACGGGAAUCGUUUUUACAACUUAAACCCUGUCAUCAAGCUCUAAAACUCGUACAGAAAGCUCUAGAACUCUCUAGUUCAACUUACUAAUAUCCGAGCCGUUACAAGAUUGUUCAUAUAUCUGGCCUAACAUCAAUUACUAUUCUUGCAUUAAUGUUCCGCCAUUAGCAAUCCGUGUAUUGCUGAUCCCUGCAUAACUUGUUUGUAAACCAAAUG